rnacentral:rRNA from 1 species
UACGAAGGGUGCAAGCGUUAAUCGGAAUUACUGGGCGUAAAGCGUGCGUAGGCGGUUUGUUAAGUCUGCUGUGAAAGCCCUGGGCUCAACCUGGGAAUGGCGGUGGAUACUGACAAGCUAGAGUGCGGUAGAGGAGGGUGGAAUUCCCGGUGUAGCGGUGAAAUGCGUAGAGAUCGGGAGGAACAUCAGUGGCGAAGGCGGCCCUCUGGACCAGCACUGACGCUGAGGCACGAAAGCGUGGGGAGCAAACAGG